rnacentral:rRNA from 1 species
GCGUGUGUGAAGAAGGCCUUCGGGUUGUAAAGUCACUUUGUUCGGAAAGAAAUCGCCUGGGUUAAUACCCUGGGUGGAUGACGGUACCGGAAGAAUAAGCACCGGCUAACUACGUGCCAGCAGCCGCGGUAAUACGUAGGAUGCAAGCGUUAAUCGGAAUUACUGGGCGUAAAGCGUGCGCAGGCGGUUGUGCAAGACAGAUGUGAAAUCCCCGGGCUUAACCUGGGAACUGCAUUUGUGACUGCACGGCUAGAGUGUGUCAGAGGGGGGUAGAAUUCCACGUGUAGCAGUGAAAUGCGUAGAUAUGUGGAGGAAUACCGAUGGCGAAGGCAGCCCCCUGGGAUAACACUGACGCUCAUGCACGAAAGCGUGGGGAGCAAACAGGAUUAGAUACCCUGGUAGUCCACGCCCUAAACGAUGUCAACUAGUUGUCGGGGAUUAAUUUCCUUGGUAACGCAGCUAACGCGUGAAGUUGACCGCCUGGGGAGUACGGUCGCAAGAUUA